GAACCKACUAAUGUUGAAAAAUUAGCGGAUGACCUGUGGCUGGGGGUGAAAGGCCAAUCAAACCGGGAGAUAGCUGGUUCUCCCCGAAAGCUAUUUAGGUAGCGCCUCGUGAACUCAUCUCCGGGGGUAGAGCACUGUUUCGGCUAGGGGGCCAUCCCGGCUUACCAACCCGAUGCAAACUGCGAAUACCGGAGAAUGUUAUCACGGGAGACCACACGGCGGGUG
rnacentral:rRNA from 1 species